UUGUAUGAUCUCUCUUAUUUUGUUAAAAUUUUGCACAUUUUCACAGAUUCUGCAAGUGGUUCACAUACUUUUUCUUGCAACUGUAUAACAAUCAGCUUUAUACAGAUUUGUAUCGACAUACUUGUAUGAAAAUAUUCUAAUAUUUUUCUUGUUUCGUAUCAUGUAAAGGUGAAGCAGAAUUGUAAAAUGAAGGAAUGGAAAAUCACACAAAAUGUUACCUGGACGUUAUCACUAAAAAGUGUCCCGUAGAAGCGCUCUUACUCUGUCUGUCAAUCAUCUUGCGUGCGCGCGAAUUUCUUGGCAUCGGGUUGGCUGAUAUCUUUGGAGGGCGGGGUUUUGCAAAGGUUGGCGUUGAGUAAAGUGAAGCGAGUACGAGUUCCUCGACUCGAGUUCUAUUGCUUUUUUUGUCGGAAAGAAUAGGAAUCUUGGAGGAGGACAACAGGUUUAUUCGUGCCUAUUUCUUGGGGGCAGCAGAGAGUCAGUAUUGAUGAUGGAAGAACCCCUUCAUUAUUUGACUUUCAUAAGGCUGUCUCAGGACUGCAUGUCCCAGGGUUGCUGUGGGAGAAGGGUGAGGUGGUUGUGUCGUAGUGUUCUCAGCUCCGUCAGCCGUCCCAGGAGCCUGGCGAAGCGGCGCGGGUCCUGCGUUGUCCCCUGACUACAGCAGCAGCAAACUCGGGACAGGAGCUCCAAAACAAACUCCUGCACAUCCAACUGACUGAGGCCCAAUACCAAAGAAUCGACGAACAAAUCAGUAACUGCUGGAAGAGUUUGACCAGUAACACACCUAUGUGAGUUCAUCAUUUGUGCUGUGCAUUGAGAGCAAUUCAUCAGAAAAGUCUGCUUUUAUGGGAAAUGAGGAUAUUGUGGUCUUGCUGGAAACUCACCGAUGUAGGAACAGGCUCUUGAAACUCCGUACUGAGCUCAUGACAGAAGACAUGCAGCAGCAGACGCUCGCAUCGCUACAGAGAGAAGAGAGAAGAAGUGUGACUCACUCGUUGGUCCUCUGGACUCAUUGCUGUCUCACUUUUGUCCUUCUUACUGGGUGGAUCGUCAUCAGAGUUGUAUUCCAUCUCUGGACUUGUGAGACUUCUGCAGAAUGUGCACAUCCAAUCUCCACUGCAUCAGAAGAGGGUACAACACAUGAUUAACACAAAAAUCAGGAAUUAAAGCCUUAAAACCUAAAGGGAACAGAUCAUAAAUAUUUGGUUUUUACCACUAAGUCCAUUUAUAAAUAUAAGUCAAGGUUUCUGGCACCAUGAACAUUUUCUGCUCUCUCUCUCUCUCUCUCUCUCUCUCUGUUAUGCUACUGAACAUUUAUCUACCACAUUAUGUAAAUUACUUUUAUUAUGAUUGGCUAAACAUGCACGUGCCUGAA